UGUGUAGGCGGUUCUUUAAGUUUGGUGUGAAAUCUCCCGGCUCAACCGGGAGGGUGCGCCGAAUACUGAGGGACUAGAGUGCGGGAGAGGAAAGUGGAAUUCCUGGUGUAGCGGUGAAAUGCGUAGAUAUCAGGGGGAACACCGGUGGUGUAGACGGCUUUCUGGACCGUAACUGACGCUGAGACACGGAAGCGUGGGUAGCAAACAGGAUUAGAUACCCUGGUAGUCCACGCCCUAAACGAUGCAUAUUUGGUGUGGGUCAUUCAGUUGAUCCGUGCCGGAGCUAACGCGUUAAAUAUGCCGCCUGGGGAGUACAGUCGCAAGGCUGAA
rnacentral:rRNA from 1 species